rnacentral:lncRNA from 1 species
GAGGUAGUUCGCAAAUGACCUCGCGGUGGCUCAGCGUUUUAACCCAGUGGUGUUUCUGUUUUGCUCCAGUAAUGCGAGAAAGGAAGGGUAGCAUGCCGGCUAGGAAAGGGGAAGGUCCCUUCCCAAACUCUCGGUUCCAUCACUCUCGUGUUUCGUCGCCCGGUCGAUGGAAAAGAAAAUCCUGGAUUUUUUUUUUUUUUUUUUGUCUGCGAAAGAGAAGAGCUGGGUUCGGGAACUGCUGAAGCCACAGGAAUGGAAAACGUGAAAGACCCUCCUAGAAGGCCUGGGAGGAAGGAGCUCUCGGACUGGCAGCGCUGGCGGUUCCCUUUGCGUAUCUGGACUGGUUGUUAACGACCGACCAACCUUGCCGUCCUUCGAGACCUGCAUUGCCGCCAGUCCAGAGUCUCUCAGCCAAGAGAGAAAAACUGGGUCUGACUGCCAUUAGCUAGCUGCGGCUUCUUAGUCUGUAAAAGGGGUAGAGGGACAAGACUGAAGCGCCUGGAGCCAGCACCGGGACGCAGGUCACCAGUAACGCUGGAGGUCUCCGUGAUCCGCGCCACUACUAACCAAACUGAAGUGGCAAAGAGUCCUAUUCUCGGCGGAUAGUCCGAGUCCUGGAGUGGGUCUAGGCCCUGAGAUCCUAGGCUAGUGUCCUCACGUCUUGGUUUCUGAAGUACUUACAGUUACUAAGUCAUAGGAAAACAGAAAUCUCUCCUGAGUUCACUGUUUUAGUUACAGGGUCUAGAACCCGGGUCUAACCUAGCGCAUGCGUGAUACUGAGCUCCUUGGAGACUAUGGCAUUUUGUUUUUCCCUAUGUCCCAGCACUCUAAUUACAGGACCUUCAGAAUUUGUUCAGCACUGUACCACAAGCUUCCUGGAAUUUGGAGCUUAAUUCUGCAUAUCUAUUUACCCAAAUCUGGGGAAAGGCGGAAAUCAGAGGUUGCCAGGUAGUUAAUACCUUGUUUUUCCCAAGAGCAGCUACAAAAUGAAGGUAUUGUAUACGGGAAACAUGGAGGCUUGAGGCUCAGAAAGUGGAGCCAGAGUAGAAAUGGUCAAUAGGACAAGCUAUGUUGUAAGCUGAGUGAACUCUAUAAGCGAAAGGGAAAUUUCCCCCUUUCUGUUUCCUACUAAAAGCCAGAAACCAGUACCCUUUCCAUCAGCCUUUCAAACUAGUCAUAGGAGCUAUGUUUCCAGGAAAUGGUAAAAAUACAGAGACACCUGAAGCCACAUAUAGGUUAGUUUAUUUCCUCUGAGUCUCUUGAGAAGUCAGCAGGGAUAUAAGGCGAACUGGUAGGAGCUGCGGGGGGUCCUGAGCAGAGCUGAUGCAGGGAAUAGAGGCUGGCAUAGGCAGGAAGAAGAGAUUUAAAUAUUCAGGUCCAAAAGCCAGUUAGUGAGUCUCCUUCAUCUGUCUUUGGAUUUUGUGUAACAUCUCCUGCAUCCGCCGCAGCUGAAACAGGCACAUACAUCAUCAAUGCAAGGUGUUUGAUAGGAAGAGUCUGACUGUAUUGAAGAAGUGUCCCCAGAUUCUAAUCCCUUGAGUCUGGGACUUUGGUGGCCCUUAUGUAUGAUGGAAAUGGCAGAACCACUCAACAUCCCACCUAUGUACCAGAGCAUAAGGAUAGGUCCUUCUAUUCCCAAGCCAAGAGAUAAUGAGGCUUAUCAAACGGAGGACUUCCCAGACUGACAUCUGCAUUGUAUUGCUCUCACCUCUUCGUCUUUCUCCCGGAUUAGCUUCUCAGUUUCUGGAUCUGUCCCUGGUGGGACAGCAGGGAUAGGGAAGUCAGUACCACUCUCUCUUGUCAGUUUGCUGAAGGGAGGGGGAAAGGAGGGUAGUAAGGUUGGGGGGACCCCAGCACCAACUUGAGUGAAGCCUGGGGCCUGCAGAGUAAUAAGGGGAGGACUUGGGAUUCCCCUGGCCAGCUUUGUCCUGGCUCCUGGUCAUACUUGCGAUUCCGUUCCUUCACUACUAGCCGGGUCAUGCUCUGGAUACACUGUGCCCUGUAGUUCUCGU